AGUGAACGCUGGCGGUAGGCCUAACACAUGCAAGUCGAACGGCAGCACAGUAAGAGCUUGCUCUUACGGGUGGCGAGUGGCGGACGGGUGAGGAAUACAUCGGAAUCUACUUUUUCGUGGGGGAUAACGUAGGGAAACUUACGCUAAUACCGCAUACGACCUACGGGUGAAAGCAGGGGAUCUUCGGACCUUGCGCGAUUGAAUGAGCCGAUGUCGGAUUAGCUAGUUGGCGGGGUAAAGGCCCACCAAGGCGACGAUCCGUAGCUGGUCUGAGAGGAUGAUCAGCCACACUGGAACUGAGACACGGUCCAGACUCCUACGGGAGGCAGCAGUGGGGAAUAUUGGACAAUGGGCGCAAGCCUGAUCCAGCCAUACCGCGUGGGUGAAGAAGGCCUUCGGGUUGUAAAGCCCUUUUGCUGGGAAAGAAAAGCAGCAGGUUAAUACCCCGCUGUUCUGACGGUACCCAAAGAAUAAGCACCGGCUAACUUCAUG
rnacentral:rRNA from 1 species